AACGAACGCUGGCGGCAUGCCUAACACAUGCAAGUCGAACGAGACCUUCGGGUCUAGUGGCGCACGGGUGCGUAACGCGUGGGAACCUGCCCUUAGGUUCGGAAUAACUCCCCGAAAGGGGUGCUAAUACCGGAUAAUGUCUGCUGACCAAAGAUUUAUCGCCUUUGGAUGGGCCCGCGUUGGAUUAGCUAGUUGGUAGGGUAAAAGCCUACCAAGGCGACGAUCCAUAGCUGGUCUGAGAGGAUGAUCAGCCACACUGAGACUGAGACACGGCGCAGACUCCUACGGGAGGCAGCAGUGGGGAAUAUUGGACAAUGGGGGAAAGCCUGAUGCCGCAAUGCCGGGUGAGUGAUGAAGGUCUUAGGGUUGUACAGCUCUUUUACCCGGGAUGAUACUGACAGUACCGGGAGAAUAAGCUCCGGCUAACUUCGUG
rnacentral:rRNA from 1 species